rnacentral:rRNA from 1 species
AACGAACGCUGGCGGCAUGCCUAACACAUGCAAGUCGAACGAGAACUUCGGGUCUAGUGGCGCACGGGUGCGUAACGCGUGGGAACCUGCCCUUAGGUUUGGAAUAACUCCCCGCAAGGGGUGCUAAUACCGGAUAAUGUCUUAGGCCCAAAGAUUUAUCGCCUUUGGAUGGGCCUGCGUUGGAUUAGCUAGUUGGUAGGGUACAAGCCUACCAAGGCGACGAUCCAUAGCUGGUCUGAGAGGAUGGUCAGCCACACUGGGACUGGGACACGGCCCAGACUCCUACGGGAGGCAGCAGUGGGGAAUAUGGGACGAUGGGCGAAAGCCUGAUCCAGCAGGGCCGCGUGAGUGAUGAAGGCCUGAGGGUUGUAAAGCUCUGUUACCCGGGAUGAUAAUGACAGUACCGUGAGAAUAAGCUCCGGCUAACUCCGUG